rnacentral:rRNA from 1 species
CUACGGGCCGCAGCAGUGGGGAAUAUUGGACAAUGGGGGAAACCCUGAUCCAGCGAUGCCGCGUGAAGGAAGAAGGCUCUUGGGUUGUAAACUUCUGUCGUCAGGGACAAAGAUUUAGCGGUGAACAAUCGCUAGAUUUGAUGGUACCUGAGGAGGAAGCACCGGCUAACUCCGUGCCAGCAGCCGCGGUAAUACGGAGGGUGCAAGCGUUGUUCGGAAUCACUGGGCGUAAAGCGCGUCUAGGCGGAUAGACAAGUCAGUCGUGAAAGCCCUUGGCUCAACCAAGGAUGUGCGAUUGAUACUGUUUGUCUUGAGUGGUGGAGAGAGGGACGGAAUUCCGAGUGUAGCAGUGAAAUGCGUAGAUAUUCGGAGGAACACCGGCGGCGAAAGCGGUUCCUUGGCCACUAACUGACGCUAAAGCGCGAAAGCGUGGGUAGCAAACAGGAUUAGAUACCCUGGUAGUC